UUCCGGUUGAUCCUGCCGGAGGUCACUGCUAUUGGGAUUCGACUAAGCCAUGCGAGUCGAGAGGGUUCGGCCCUCGGCUGACGGCUCAGUAACACGUGGAUAAUCUGCCCUUAGGUGGAGGAUACCCUCGGGAAACUGAGAAUAAUACUCCAUAGGCCUAGGAUGCUGGAAUGCACUUAGGCUCAAAGUUCCGGCGCCUAAGGAUGAGUCUGCGGACUAUCAGGUUGUAGUCAGGGUAAUGACCUGACUAGCCUACGACGGAUAUGGGUUGUGAGAGCAAUAACCCAGAGAUGAUAUCUGAGACACGAUAUCAGGCCCUACGGGGCGCAGCAGGCGCGAAAACUUCACAAUGUGCGAAAGCACGAUGAGGGAAUCCCAAGCGCUUGCUCGUAAGAGUAAGCUGUUUCUAUGUUUAAAACGCAUAGAGAGUAAGAGCUGGGUAAGACGGGUGCCAGCCGCCGCGGUAAUACCUGCAGCUCGAGUGGUGGCCGCUAUUAUUGGGCCUAAAACGUCCGUAGCCGGUUUAAUAAAUGCCUGGGUAAAUCGUGUAGCUUAACUAUACGAAUUCCAGGUAGACUGCUAAACUUGAGACCGGGAGAAGUUAGAGGUACUCCUGGGGUAGAGGUGAAAUUCUGUAAUCCUAGGGGGACCACCGGUGGCGAAGGCGUCUGACUAGAACGGGUCUGACGGUGAGGGACGAAGCCCUGGGGCGCAACCGGAUUAGAUACCCGGGUAGUCCAGGGUGUAAACGCUGCUUGCUUGAUGUUGGGUUGGGCUCCGAGCCCAUCCAUGUCGGAAAAAGUUCGUUAAGCAAGCUGCCUGGAAGUACGGUCGCAGACUGAAACUUAAAGGAAUUGCCGUGGAACCAGCAUCGGGUGCAGUGUUGAGCUUAAUUGGAUUCACGCCGA
rnacentral:rRNA from 1 species